rnacentral:ncRNA from 1 species
UACAUAUGUUGGCAAACUUCUUGAAAAAGAAGGGCGCAAAGCUAGAAUCUAAGGUAUAUACUAUGAUAGUUCGGCUGCUUAA